UACGGAGGGUGCGAGCGUUAAUCGGAAUUACUGGGCGUAAAGCGCGCGUAGGUGGCUUGAUAAGCCGGUUGUGAAAGCCCCGGGCCCAACCUGGGAACGGCAUCCGGAACUGCCAAGCUAGAGUGCAGGAGAGGAAGGUAGAAUUCCCGGUGUAGCGGUGAAAUGCGUAGAGAUCGGGAGGAAUACCAGUGGCGAAGGCGGCCUUCUGGACUGACACUGACACUGAGGUGCGAAAGCGUGGGUAGCAAAUAGG
rnacentral:rRNA from 1 species